CCUACGGGAGGCUGCAGUGGGGAAUAUUGGACAAUGGGGGGAACCCUGAUCCAGCGACGCCGCGUGAGUGAAGAAGUAUUUCGGUAUGUAAAGCUCUAUCAGCAGGGAAGAAAGAAAUGACGGUACCUGACUAAGAAGCCCCGGCUAACUACGUGCCAGCAGCCGCGGUAAUACGUAGGGGGCAAGCGUUAUCCGGAUUUACUGGGUGUAAAGGGAGCGUAGACAGCGAUGCAAGUCUGAAGUGAAAGGCGGGGGCCCAACCCCCGGACUGCUUUGGAAACUGUAUGGCUGGAGUGCAGGAGAGGUAAGUGGAAUUCCUAGUGUAGCGGUGAAAUGCGUAGAGAUUAGGAGGAACACCAGUGGCGAAGGCGGCUUACUGGACUGUAACUGACGUUGAGGCUCGAAAGCGUGGGGAGCAAACAGGAUUAGAUACCCGAGUAGUC
rnacentral:rRNA from 1 species